UGCGUAGGCGGAUUGGCAAGUCAGAAGUGAAAUCCAUGGGCUUAACCCAUGAACUGCUUUUGAAACUGUUAGUCUUGAGUGAAGUAGAGGUAGGCGGAAUUCCCGGUGUAGCGGUGAAAUGCGUAGAGAUCGGGAGGAACACCAGUGGCGAAGGCGGCCUACUGGGCUUUAACUGACGCUGAGGCACGAAAGUGUGGGUAGCAAACA
rnacentral:rRNA from 1 species